rnacentral:misc_RNA from 1 species
GAUGAAGAACGUAGCGAAAUGCGAUACGUAGUGUGAAUUGCAGAAUUCAGUGAAUCAUCGAAUCUUUGAACGCACAUUGCGCCCGCCAGUAUUCUGGCGGGCAUGCCUGUUCGAGCGUCAUUUCAACCAUCAAGCCCCCGGGCUUGCGUUGGGGCCCUGCGGCUGCCGCAGACCCCUAAAACCAGUGGCGGGCUCGCUGUCACACCGAGCGCAGUAGCAAUAUCUCGCUCUGGGCGUGGCGCGGGUGCUUGCCGUAAAACACACCACUUAACAAGGUUGACCUCGGAUCAGGUAGGAAUACCCGCUGAACUUAAGCAUAUCAAUAAGCGGAGGA